GUGCUCGCUUUGGCAGCGCAUAUACAAAAAUUGGAAUGAUACAUAGAAGACUAGCAUGGCCCCUGCACAAGGAUGACAUGCAAAUUCGUGAAGUGUUCCAUAUUAAA